CAAGAAGGCUUGAUGUUGGUGGCGUCGAGUGGCAAGUCUCGGUCAGCCACGUGCAGGGUAAAGGUAGUGAUAAAGUAGAGCGUGUAGACUUGACUCCCGCCGUGACCCUGUCUAGUUAAUCAGCACAAAUGAUGAGGGGAAAGAAAGGAGGGGAGGAAGGGAGGUGUAAGUACGUUGCCUUAAACCUCUGCAUCCUUUAUGGCUCCUCUACCAUGUCCCACCGCCCGUCAUUACUGUCGCCCACUAUUUCUUAUCGCCCUAAGCCACCUCUCUCCAUCAUCCAGUCACCGCUGUCGACCGCCGCCAUCAGUUGACCUAUAAAUAUCAGUCACCCACGCACCUCCCCUCUUCUAGCGUCAUCCUCGAGAGACCCAGAAACUGUAGUCACCAUUGGUGAGAGUGCGUCGAGAUAGCAGCGGACAUUGUGCACCAGUGCGGCACGGGAGUACACAAACACUGGAGACGCUCCGGGACCAUACUGAUGCUGGAGAUCCCUCCUU